CAGAACCCCCCUCGGGCCGCACACCAUCAACUCCGCACCCAUCGCUGCUCAUCUUCUUCUACGACUUUAAACUCUUCGCCUAACAAACUCACAAAGACAAAACCUUAGUAAAAUAUUCAGAUGCAAAUUACCUGUACACAACCCCAUUUGCACAUGGUCUAAGGUGGUCCACUCUCCGUUGUCUAGCAAACAGAACUCAAUUUCCAUUCAAACAGAAAAUGGCAAACACAUAAAUUUUGUUUUUCAAGAAUCUAAUGAGCAGCCAAAGCUAGCACCAAGUCUUGAUUCUGCUGUGGCUCAGUUUUCUUCUUUGCGAAUUCAGCAAGUUCAAUUUCAGAAGAAAGAAUCUCAGGAAUCCCUAAAUCAUCACAUGCAGCAUCACUGUUCAACAAAAUGUCUCUAUCAUUAAUUGUAGUAGUUUCAUCUACCACUUCAUUUGGGACAGUACAAAGUUCUGCUUCAAAGGGGUCGAAUACAGGGACACAAUAAAGAAGUUGCUCUUCAUUUUCGAAUUCAUUUUCAUCCGCCGUGGUUGAGAUGCGGUCGAGAUCGAGGUUGUUCGUUGAGGUUCCAAUCGCUGUUUAAAAUUAGAUCCGAAUUUCUGUUUGGCGAAAACCCUUUAAGAUGCAGGUUAUUUAGCUAAUUCCCAUAAAGCUCGAUCUCAAGCCGGGUAUGUGUUUACAUGUGGAGGUACUAUCAUAUCAUGGUACUCCACAAAGUAGUCAAUUGUUGUUACUUCUUCAAAUUAUGCUAAGAUAAUAGCUAUUCAUGAAGCAA